ACCAGUAACUGUGUCUCUACUCCUGUUUCAAGAUUCAGCCACAUAAAUCCACGUUUGCGAUUCCAAUUGAAGAACGGGUAGUCUAGUUAAACACAAUCUAAUAGUAUUGAAGAACUACUUGGUAACCAUUUUCCUGAAAAGGAAAACUCCACAGCCCUAAUUCACCUAGCUUCCCUACUUGUACAGGUAACAUAAAUAUAACUACAGUCGAAAAAGAGAGGCGAAAACCAAAUGCAAAACCUUACUCUUAAUAAGGUUAUGUUGUUGGCUGGUUUUUGGGGUGGUGGAAGCGGGGCAAGAAACAAGAAUCCAGCUAGAGAAAAUGAUAAAUAAUGAUAGAGAUGAUCUAUGCAUUCAAAGAACAAUAUGGAUUUAAGUUGCAAGCUACAUGAAAUUCAAGAAAUGAAGGCCCAAAUAUCUGACAUGUUUAAAACACUCCAACUAUGGAAGAACACAAGGGAAAAACAAGUUCUUAAAAUAUGGGAAUUGGGAAAGGACAGAAGAUCUAGGAAUCAACUGUAGUCACCUGUUGCCACUCCCCAUCAACAGCUUCUUUCCACAGAGUCACAUUGUUGUUCCCAUCAGCAACAGCCAAUAUGUUUCCAGUGAGUGACCAUGAGACUCUCCAAACAGGAGUCUUGAAAUCAUGCAAGACCUUACCCUCCCAUUGAUCCCCUUCCUUUCCCACAGUCCAUAUAAUAACCUUCCCAUCCUGAGAAGCACUAGCAAUAGUGGACUUUGGAAGGCCCAAGUUAGGUGCCCAUGCGACAUCUCUUACCCAAUCAGUGUGCAUUUGAAGAGCUGGAAAGCAGUCCAUCUUCCAAGUUCCAUUGUAGAGCUUCCAAACUUUGACAGUAUUGUCACAACCACCAGAGCAAAGCUUCUGAACAGGGUCAAGCAAACCAGAACCAACAAGAGCACCAGGCGCUGUCGAUGGUGCCCAAGAAACAGAAGUUACACCAACUGGGUGAGCUUGAUCAAUUUUGGAUGUGUCCCAACCACCAUCUGCUCGUGCAGUAAAAACUGAUAUAUUUCCAUCUGAGGAGCCACACGCCAAACAAAGACCAACCUCAUGAGGUGCCCAAGCAAUAGAGUUAACAGAUGACUUGUGGUCAUCAAAUACAUGAGCUUGAGUCCACUCAUUUUGAUUGCCCUCCUUCCAUAUUAUGACACGCCCAUCAUAAGAACAUGAAGCAAGCAAAGAUCCAAACUUUGGGUGAGCCCAGGAUACUUGCCAAACAGGUCCUUGAUGGGCAGUGAGCUGAGCCAGCUGCUGGGAAGUGUUAUUGCUAUUGUUAACCCCAAUUAUCUUGAUUGAGUGGUCAGAUGAGGCAGUUGCAAUGCGCUUGCCAUAGUAAUCCAUAACCACAUCAUGGACUGUGUCCUGAUGACCUGUCUCAAUUUUUUGAGAAGGCAUUUUGUCUAGUGAAUAUGUACACUGCUUCAAAUAGCUCGUAUAUUAAAAUCGUUCCUUUCUCCUGAAUAAGAACCAAAAUAAAAUUAAAGAAAAAAAAAGUUUUCAAUUUCUCUUCUUAUCAGGUAUCACUCAACUUCCAAAUUUCACAAAUCAUAUGUUAUGAAAACUAACGAAACCCUGAUUUCAGAAACAUAUUCUAGAUCCUAUAAAUUGAUGAUAAAGUUAGGCAAAACCAAACAUUUUGAACUCAAAUAUCAAUAAUCAACUAGCGAAAAAUACAACACAAAUGCACAUACAUAGAUUUUAAACGACUGACCAACACGCACCAAGUGAAACAAACCAAAAAGGUCUUAAUAUGGAACAAACACAAGAUCAAGUGAAUUCCCUAUAUUUGCAAAUAUGAAUAUACAUAGAUUUAUAAGAAGUGAAAAGAAGACCUAUAAAGGAGCUCACAUAAUGUUGUUACAGAACCAAAGAAAAGAGAUCUGUUUUCUAAUUCAAGGUAAGAUUUUUUUUUUCUACAUUAAAAGAAACCGAUUACAAUUUGAAUACAGUAAGGAGUGUAAAUGUGACAAUAAAAAAUUGGGUCACAAAGCUAUCUUAUGUUAAGUAAAAUAAAGUACAAAUUAGUUUAUGGUGCCAUGUCCACAAAAAUUCCAAAAAAAUCCCACCCUGAGGCCAUUUUUCAUUUUCUGCCACAUCUACACUCCCAAUCAUAUCCAAACCGUAAUAGAAUUUUUGCUCAUAUAGAAAACAGAAACUGA
rnacentral:misc_RNA from 1 species